rnacentral:rRNA from 1 species
UACGAAGGGGGCGAGCGUUGUUCGGAAUUACUGGGCGUAAAGCGUGCGCAGGCGGUCUGUUAAGACCGAUGUGAAAUCCCCGGGCUUAACCUGGGAACUGCAUUGGUGACUGGCAGGCUUUGAGUGUGGCAGAGGGAGGUAGAAUUCCACGUGUAGCAGUGAAAUGCGUAGAGAAUGUGGAGGAAUACCGAUGGCGAAGGGCAGCCUCCUGGGCCAACACUGACGCUCAUGCACGAAGCGUGG